rnacentral:rRNA from 1 species
AUGAAAGGAACACAAGCCAUUAGUGUGACUCUUCUCAUGUCAUUUCUUGUUCUAGCGACUAGAGGAAAAGAUGUGAGCUAUAGAAUGCAAGAGGAAGACAGUACUCAGAUUCUCACUUAUCAAGGAGUUAAUAAAACCAUUCAGAUGGAAGACGGAGACGUCUAUGACUGCAUCGAUGUGUAUAAGCAACCGGCAUUUAACCACCCAUUGUUGAAAGACCAUAAAAUCCAGAUGAAACCAAGGUCUUUCCCUGUUUGGAAGGAUACCCAAACAUUUCCUUCGGAUUCUUUUUCACAAGUGCAACCAUCUAUCAUCAAGUGCCCAACAGGAACAAUUCCAAUACUGCGUAGUAAUGCAAGUAGCACCAUAGCAACACACAAUAUUGAUGGGCUAAAAAAUGAUAUGCAAUGGGAGAGGGCGGGACUCAGAUACAUUGGUGAUUUAUUUGGGGCGCGUGCUCUAAUAAAUGUUUGGGAGCCAAAGGUUAAUAAAGGUAGCCAGGAUUCUAGUGCACUUUGGAUAAAUAUUGAAAAUGGAAGAGGACAACACACGGAUCGGAUGGGCGCUGGUCUUCGGUACGAUGGCUAUUCAAAGAAGUCAUGCAUUGACUUCAACUGUCCUGGAUAUGUGCAAGUCCACCACAACGUUGCUCCUGGAUCAAGAAUUCAACCAUCCUCUAUCUAUGGUGGAGUACAGAAAGUAGUAGACGUUCAAAUAUUCAAGGAGCCGACAUCAGGCCAUUGGUGGGUGAGUGUCAAUAAAAUACCAAUUGGAUAUUGGCCGGGCGGAUUAUUCAAAUUCAUUAGAUACAAGGGUGAUUUCGCGUUCUGGGGCGGGCAGGUUGAGGGGCCGACUGCCGCAUCAAACUCUCCGCAAAUGGGUAGCGGGCAAUUUGCUUCGGAAGGAUUCAGAAAAGCGGCGUUCAUGGAAGGCAUUGAGAUUGCUGAUGAUAAGGGCUGGUUUGUGACCCCGGAUAUAUCUCGAGUGAAGCAUGGGUCGAGCGAUCGGUCCAAAUACACCGCCGAUGGAUUUGAAGUUACAAAGGAUUUAGGUAUGCGUAUCUUCUAUGGUGGACCAGGGUCCAAGAGGGCCUGA